rnacentral:lncRNA from 1 species
AGAGAGAGAGAGAGAACUUCUUGAGGCGUUGACUCCCAUUGAAUGAAGCAGCAAUACACGAUGAGCUAUGGCCGAAGCUGUGUUGUUGAGGUUCUUGAGUAGACGCCAUUGUUCAAGGCUCGGUUGUCUUUUUUCUGCUCUGCAUCAACCAACAGGAUGAUGGGAUUUCUUUUGUUCAGCAUCAUAAAAUCUUAUCUAUUGAAUAUGUCAGAAUUCAGAAGUAAUAAAGACCCUUCGAGCAUGAGCUGUGUUGUCAUAUGGACACGUUAGAGACAGAAAGAGAGAGAGACUCCAGCAUCUUCUUGAAACUCUGAUCGCAUCAUGUGGUGGUUAGCAGUUGGUAAUGGCAAACUGUCUGCAACUAUAGUUUUCAAGCUUUGGUAAGAAAAAAAUUUGGAAGAAGAAAAAAUUCUCAACAUACUACUUUGUGCUUCUUCUUCUUCUUCUUCUUCUUCUUUUUUUUUGGUCAUAUUUGUCAUAGAUGAUUUCUCAGAUUCCAUCAUGCCACAAAAUAACGACAACGAGAUAUGGAAGAUUGAGCAGUUGAGAACCGACAAUAAACUUUAUACAUGGUCCAAACCCAACUCAGUUUUGCUGCUAAUUACUGAUACAAGGUUUAAAUCAGGAGAGAAAAUAAACUUCGCUUAACCUUAGCUAAAAAGUAUUGUAUUCAUAAAAUUUGCACCUAGUGUACGCAAUAUUUGAGUGCACCUGAUUGCUGUGAGCGGAAUGCAUAUUGGCAAUCCUAUAUGGAGCCUAUCAAAUUUAGCACCCCUGAGUCACCGUGCUGGGGUGAACCGGAUGCAUCUAAUGGUUUCUCGUUCCGAAAUAGCAUACCUCAACACGAGCCCGCCUAGUGCUCGGGCUCCGCCGGGCUAGAUCGGCUCAAACGACCUACUCGGGCAAGCUUCAGAAGGCCAUUCUUUACGUAGAAAGCACGACCAGGCACGUCCAGGUUUGGAGCACGCCUCGGCCCGACUCAGCCGGUCGAAUCAAGCCCCCAACGUAUUUACUUCUCAACAAAUUCCGGCACCUUAUAACUUGUACAUCUACAUUUGAAACUCUCAUGGGGCUAACGAACGUCGGAUCACUCUUAAUAAAGGGACCCGAUCAAAGGCCCAAAGUUGAAGAGUAAAGCCCAAUCCAACCGGUCCUCCUUGAACACAUGGGCCUCGGCCUCUUCACCAGGAUGUAUUGCGAUGAGCCCAAUGUAUUGCAAUUCAACUCGGUAGACUUUGAGGCCCAUUUGUGCUCCAUCUCGAAUCUAAUCUUGCUCCUAGAUUAAGCUAGUGUAAAAGUUCGAUUGUUCAAAUCAGCGAAACUCCUGUUCAAAAAAAAAAAAAAAUCAGCGAAACUGUUUUCUAAAAAAAAAAGAAAAAAAAUAUAGAGAGAAAUGAUUCUGUGAGUAUUUUUAAUUUACUGUGAAAAUAGCAAUUUAUUCAAAACUAUGAAAACUAAGUAACAAAUAAUUAUACCACCCACCUGGGUAGCGCUGUUGGCGGCGUGCUUCUCCCCCUAACGCAAGGGGAGGAGUUCGAUUCCCGAGCGUCGCAGGGUGACUUAUUCGGUGGCACAUGUGUGGUGGCUAGCACGUGUUGUCCCUAAGGUUUAUUCCUCGUUACCUCAGGCCUUUCGAACUGUCUGUGUUGGUAUGGUGCGUAGAUUCUCUGGGUCACAAAAAAAAAGCAAUAAAUAAUUAUAAAUUAUUAUGGGGUUCACUUACUCAAGAAAUUUUUUUGGUCAAAAACUUUUUCAAAAAUUUGUGACUUAAAACAAACUGUUAUUCAUAUAGUUACUCAAAAAUUAUAAUACUAGCAAACUCUAAAAAAUAAAAAUCAGUAAAACUAACCCGCGGGCUUGAGGGACAGGAAGAAGCACUGAAAAAUGGUGGUCUAGACUCUAGCUAGCCUCGCCUUAUGUGAAACAGGACAUAUUGAAGCCUUUUGCUCAUGCACAUCCCAGGCAACGCGCGACUUUGUCCUUGUCGGGAUGAUCACUAUGUAUUGUCCUCGACCUUGUUACAAAAGGUUUGCUGUAUUCAUCAUUGGUUCUCGAUCAAAUGGAGUUCACCUCCAUGCAAAAAUAUGAUGGUGACCAUGACAACGACGACGACGAAGAGUCCAUCCUCACCAAUAUGUUUGAUAAAAAUAUGUAAAAAUCGCAAGACUAGCGACAAAUUCAUAUGCCACUCUCCAACAAAAUGUCACUCAAACAUUAUCUUGUUACAACAUAUCUUUCAUGAAUGUAUUAUAGCUGUCGUCGUCGUCGUUUGUUCUCGUAAUCAUCCAAAAUAUAAUUUCCUACCAUUUAUCAUGAUCUCACUUGUAAAAAUAUAAUAUUCAAGAAAAAAGAAAGAAAUAAUUAUUGCGAGAACCGGACUAAACUAAAUUCCCAAUUAAAUUAAAGCUGUCAUUGACCUCAUCUUGUUGCUUAUGGUCAGGACGGUAAUUAAAAGACAGAGACUAAUGACCUAACUAAAACGUAAAUCUUGUACCAUAAAAACUCAGAUUCUAAUCCAAAUCAAGCUCGGAUUUCUUAACCUAAAAGGAACUCGAAGCCCCUCCCCCACGCCCCGCCAGCGUCGGUCGCCCGUCAUUCCAGCGAAAUCCCGAGACCGCCCUUCCCUCUGGCGGGGGGCAAGGCCGCGAUUCCGGCGAGCCACGUGCCCAGGAACGUAAAUUCGCCCCUCCCCCCAAGUCGUCGCCCCGCUCACUGAGAAAAGUCGUCACUAAAUUGAUUUUUAAUUAAUUUUAAAUUAUUUUCUCUCUUUUUUUUUGGGGGGGAGGAAUAAAUCCAGUCGUCUUCUUCCUUCCUUCUUCCUCCUCACGCCCUUCGCAGAUCGAAGAGAGAGAGAGAGACAGAGAGCGUCGCCGUCUCCGAUCCGAGAUCCGAUCUCUCUCUAGAAUCCCCAGAUCCGGCGCCGCCGCCGCCGCCGCCGCCGCCGCCGCAUGGCGAUCCCCGCCGCGCUCCGCCUCGCGGUCCUCCUCGGCGUCGUCCUAUCGGCGGUGGUCGCCGAGAUCCGGUUCUCCGAGAUCCGAUCCGACGGCCGGGGCAUCAUCCUGCUCGACGAGUUCGGGUUCACCCACCGGGGCCGGCUCGAGCUCAACGUCUCCGGCGUCGCGCUGUCGAAGACCGGGCUCGACCUCGCCGGCGUCGGGUUCUUCCUCUGCACCCGGGACUCGUGGUUCAACGUGCGGAAGCAGC